AUUGAACGCUGGCGGCAUGCCUUACACAUGCAAGUCGAACGGUAACAGGUCUUCGGAUGCUGACGAGUGGCGAACGGGUGAGUAAUACACCGGAACGUGCCUAGUAGUGGGGGAUAACUACUCGAAAGAGUGGCUAAUACCGCAUGAGAUCUACGGAUGAAAGCAGGGGAUCGCAAGACCUUGUGCUACUAGAGCGGCCGAUGGCAGAUUAGGUAGUUGGUGGGAUAAAAGCUUACCAAGCCGACGGUCUGUAGCUGGUCUGAGAGGACGAUCAGCCACACUGGGACUGAGACACGGCCCAGACUCCUACGGGAGGCAGCAGUGGGGAAUUUUGGACAAUGGGCGAAAGCCUGAUCCAGCAAUGCCGCGUGCAGGAUGAAGGCCUUCGGGUUGUAAACUGCUUUUGUACGGAACGAAAAGCCCCGGGUUAAUACCCUGGGGUCAUGACGGUACCGUAAGAAUAAGCACCGGCUAACUACGUGCCAGCCGCCGCAGUAA
rnacentral:rRNA from 1 species